rnacentral:rRNA from 1 species
AUGGCCGGCGCCGCGGAAGGGGAGGCUCGUCCCCUCGUCGUCGUCGGAAGGGGAGCGCGCCGGUCAGCCAAGGUUUCUGCCGCGGCCGCGGAAGGGGAGACUCGUCCCCUCGUCGGAGCCAAGGUGAUGGGGCCUCGCCUCAGCCUCAGCCUUUCUCCGGAUGCUCUGGACCUGAUUGCGAGGAGGGAGGCCUUGCUCUCGGAGUGGGCCGCGUCGGAGCCCUCGGCCUCGCCGUCGCUCCCUGAAGCUUCAGCGUCGCCCUGGUCCCUCAUCUUGUCCCGUUGCCUACCAUCAUCCCUACAGCCACAGCCUGAGCCUGAGCCAUUCGACAGGGUCGAACACAACUGGAACAGUUCUAUGAUGAUGAUGAUGAUGCCGAGCCCCUCUGAGGUAGCAGCAGCUCAAGAUCAUCAACUUGUCAUGGAAUGCCUUCGCCACUAUAACUUAAAUCAUCCGGAAAAUGAGUACGUACCUGCCCCUGGCAAGGUGACCAGAUACAGCAGUCCUCACAAUGGUUCUUGCUGGACUCAUGGCAACUUCGUCGCUAGCCCCAAGCACUCCGGCUACUUCUCCUUACUGCCCCCUAGACCAACUCUCUUAUUUUAUGAGCUUGUUACCAAAGAUGGUUUUGAAGGAGUUGUCUCGUGCACCCCGCUAGAUGAGCCAGUUACCGAAGCCUACAGUUUGUUUGGCCUUCAUCUUGGGUGGGGAACUCGUCGUGAUGGCAGUUCGGAUUGCCUUUGCAAUACAUGCAACCGUCUUGUUGAUAGCGAGGUUCCUUCUGUGGGGAAUGCAUUUCCGUGUGGACAUUACAAGGCAGAGCGUGUUUGUCAGAUGUGCUAUCUUCAGUCUGAAGUGCUGCAUCCAUCGCCAGAGAAAUUUGCGUUUGGAAAAUGA